rnacentral:rRNA from 1 species
CUGGCUCAGGACGAACGCUGGCGGCGUGCUUAACACAUGCAAGUCGAGCGGAGAAUAUAGCAAUAUAUUCUUAGCGGCGGACGGGUGAGUAACGCGUGGGUAACCUGCCUUUUACUGGGGGAUAACACUGGGAAACUAGUGCUAAUACCGCAUAAAAUAGUGAAGUGGCAUCACUUUACUAUCAAAGGAGCAAUCCGGUAAAAGAUGGACCCGCGUCCGAUUAGCUAGUUGGAGGGUAACGGCCCACCAAGGCGACGAUCGGUAGCCGAACUGAGAGGUUGAUCGGCCACAUUGGGACUGAGACACGGCCCAGACUCCUACGGGAGGCAGCAGUGGGGAAUAUUGCGCAAAGUGGGGGAAACCCUGACGCAGCAACGCCGCGUGAAGGAUGAAGGUUUUCGGAUUGUAAACUUCUUUGAUUGGGGACGAUAAUGACGGUACCCAAAAAACAAGCCACGGCUAACUACGUGCCAGCCGCUGC